rnacentral:tRNA from 1 species
ACUUAAAUAGCUUAUAAUUAAGAGCAUAGUACUGAAGAUACUAAGGAGAUACUAAUAUUUUUAAGUA